GUCCUGGUUUCAAACCAAAUAACAGCUUUUAAUUUGAAAAGGCUGACCUUCAUGGAGAAGAUCCUAACGUUAUUGUGUGUUACUUCUGCUGUAAAAUGACACGGAAAACAUAUGAAACUUUAGAGUUUUGUAAGCUCAAACUGUUGCUUGUAUCGGAAUGAAGGUCGGAACGGAAAGCAGGUGAAGCAGCAGUACCUUCAGAAAGAGGGCAUGAUCCCUUCUCCUCCUCUUCCUCCUCCUCCUCCUCCUCCUCACCACUCCACGCUGAUCUGUUGGACACCACACGGACAAAGCACAGCAUCCGGGUCGCUCCAGGUGUUUCACACUUUAUUUUCCAUGAUUGCAUUUUCUGUGUUAAUUCUGCACACCGAGACAAACUGAUUACAGUUCAAAUCCAAAUCUGUCGUUUACCCGCUCAGGUGCGCCUCGUUUGUUUCGAGUGUCCUUGAGACGCCGGGAACCUGACUGAAGGUAACAGGUGAGCCAAAUGUCCAACAGUUUAAACAUCUAACAUUGUGUUGCUGCGAUGACAGUACCGUGAGCAGGUGACGGUGGGUUCCAGUCAUUUCACUCACCUGAGGGAGUCACGCCGUCUCGUUUAAACACUUCGUCCUCCGGCCUCGCGGUAAAAUCUGAUUUUUGUUCGUCCAGCGCGAGCUGAGAUGAAAGCGAAAAGGUUCAGUAAAGCAUCGCUCGUUAAAACGCCUCACCUGGAGCAUGAGGUAAUUUAGAACUUUUCUAAUUAGCUGCGAGAAAGCAACUGGAAAAGAUGUCGCACUUUUCCAGGCUGUUUGUGUUCCGUCUCCAUAGCAACCGCGUCGGACACGAUCCGCCAUGUUGGGACCUCCGCUGCGGCUACGUCACAGCUUUAACUUCCGAGUUGGACGAAGGAAGAGCUUAUGAAAAUGACAGUUUAUAGCGUACAGCUGAUCCAUUAGCAGUUAGCUGCCUGACAGGAAACUGUCAACUGUUAUAAAGUCACGUUUCAUGUAAAAACUGCUUCACUAUGAGAGGAAUUUUCCUUUUAUUUACUGUAAUUAUUUUUAAAAUGUAUUUGAGUACUUUCUGAGGUUUAUUGAUAGUAAUCAUUAGUUACUGGCUGACUCCAACAAUGUUACUCUUAUUAUGUGUUUAGAAUAUAUAUAUUAGAAUAUUCAUCUGGGAAUUUCUUCUCCAUUAAGUACAUUUUCCUUAUUAAACUUUUAUAGUUUUACUGAAGUUAUAUUCUCAUUGCAGGAGUAUUUCUGUAGUAUGGUAUCAGUACUUUUACUCUGAAAAUACUUCCUCCCCUGCUUAGCACCAGAUGAGGUCACAUUAUGAAGUGAGUUCUUACUUCUCUCAACACUCAGUUUUCUUGUAACGUGCAGCUUGGACACCAGGUGGCGUCCAAUCGGGCUUCAGCUACAUGAGCAGACAUCAGUGGACCAGGUGUAAAAAUAACUGAUCUUUAUUAAGAGACACGAGGAGAACAGCCAAUAAAUACAGAGAGAAGGACAGAAUCGUCGUCUAACAUCCGCACAAACAGAACCGACCGCUCAGUCUUUGUAACUGGGCGGCUAAACUACGAAAUUCCCUACGAGGAUCAGGAUGUUUCUGCUCCUCUCACACCUUCUGUUGUCCUCUGCUGUCUGUUACUCAUUCACCCUCCUGUGAGCACCUGGAGCCACACCCCCGACUGGAAGCUGCUCUCACCUGGAGGACUCGUGCCUCCUGACAGGUUUGGCACAUUUGUGUUACCGUGUGAGCAGACAACACAUUUAGACGUCAGCUUUUCCUGCGUCUGCUCGCGAGCAAACAGACAACAUCUUUGUGCUUAAAGUCGGGUUUUUCUGUCCUCGUGAAAGAGAAUUCAGAUUCCAGUUUCAGGAAAAGACAGAAAUCCAUCCUGCAAAAGCACGUCAGGAUAAUUAAAACAUGAUUAAGAAUGUGUCUUAAAGCGUAGAGCGAAGAGUGAAAAGCAGCUCUGAUCCUGUGUUUUAGGGUUGCAGAAGGUCAGAAAUGCAAAUAGGUUUAAGCUUAGUUUAAGCUUCCUGUUUCAACAUACUGAAGAGUUUGACUGACUGAAGCUGAGGUCUGCUGUGGCUGACACUUUGGAAGUGUUAUCAGAAAUAGUUUAACUGUCUUAGUUUUGACUUUCUAUCCAUAGUUUGACAAUACUUUUCUCUGUGUUCAGAGGUUUCUGAGUAAUAAUUCUGAGAUCCUCAUUUUGUAAUUAUGAGAAAAUAAUUUCAUAAUCACAUCUUUAUUUUGUAAUUACAAGAUGCAAAAUAAGAAUCUCAUAAUGACAAAACUGACGAAAACUUUAUCUGUUUAUUGUUAUUGCGGUAUCUUUAUUUCCUAAUUAUGAGAUACAAAAGCCAUAGUUACAGUUGUUUUCUCUUUCAUCUGCAGUUCAUUAAUGGAUCAGCAGGGUUUUAUUUCACAGUUAGCUUCUACAUUGUUGUAUACGAAUUAGCUUCUUAUGUUGCCUCAGUCAGCUGCACGAGUGCUGAUUGUUAGUGUUAAAGUGGGUUAAAGUGAAUCGAGUCUGCUCACCUGAUUAACGUGGCUUUGGUGGUGUUUUACCAGCUGGAAUUCUUACGUUUUUAACAGUACUUUAGUGCAAUUUUGACUACACGCUGUAAUAAAUCAGACACUAACAGUGGAUGGUGAGGAUGGUUUCUGCUGUCAUUGAUGAUGAUUGACUGAUUGGUGAUUUCCCAGCACCUCCUUCUAUAAAUAUACAAAAUGUUUUUUGGUAUAUACGUCUUUUAUAUACAUGUGUUUUCACUUGUAUGUAUCAGUACUAGUUGGUAUGUGUACAGUAUAUAUAUACAGUGUGUGUACUUGUACAUCUAUCUUGGUGAGGACCUGCUUUGAUACAUGCAAAUGACAUUUUGGCUGUGUUUAAAGGUUUAAGGUGUGCUUUCAGGUAAAGGGGCGGGGCAUGUCAGUGAGGGCCCUCACACGUGUAGAAGUACAAACACGCGUGUUCCUAGUUGCUUUCAGUGAAGUCUCGGCAGAUGCCUCGGACCAGCGCGGGGAUGAACUCUGCGAGACCAGAGAACUCUCUCGUGAAGAAGGUGUGGCUGUCCUUUGGCUCCGACGCCAUCGCUCUGAGGUCAUCCAUGGGUGCCCAGGCCACGCCCACAGAGUACACGGUGAUGCCUGGUGAUCGGUGGUUGGGAGAAACAGCCAUGGCCGGGCUGCCGACGUCAUCGUAUGAUUGGCCGUCCGUCACCACAAUUAGGAAGUUGCGGCCCGGUCCUGUCCGCCUGGCGGAGAAAGAGCAGACAUGAUGCGACGCAGAGAGAAACCUCAGUAAUCCAAACACUACUCGAUGGCUGAGUCGCACCUUCCGGCAGGGCUGUAAGAUGACCAGCAUGGCAGGAGAACAGUCAAAACACACUCUCCAACAACAACAAUUCAGUCCAGCUUUGGUUUAGCUUCAGAAAAGUAGACCUCAGCAGUCGAAAACCUCGUCAGGAGCCGCAGUCAGGUGUGAUGUUACCUGAACAGGUUCUGGGUGGUGUAGCUGAUGGCUCCUCCGGUGGCCGUUCCUCCACUCAUGUAGGAGAUCCUCCUCAGAGCGUUGAUGGCGUCGUCCUUGCUGGAGUGGUCAUACAGGCCGAACUCCAGCCUCUGGUCGUAGGUGAACUGCACAGCACCUGGACACGUAGCACACAGCCAGUCAGCCAGUCAGCCAGUCAAACAGCCGCUCAGUUAAUCAGUGAAUCAAGUCAUCUCCAUCCUGUGAAGCUAACCAAUGUGAGUCCCCACAUCUGAGAUGUCAAAGCUUUGGGCGAUUCCUGCCAGGAAGUCCAGGACCAGCCGGAAGUUUCCAUCUCCAACGCUGGAUGAACCAUCAAUGAGGAAGCCGAUGUUGACCGAGUUGUAGCAGGUUUUACCUUGAACACACACACACACACACCGUGACUUACACAUGAAGUACGACGUUGCUCACUGUGCUGCGGGUUGCUGCUGCAGAUAUUCAACCUCCACAGAAGAUUAAAGGGACAGUUCACUACAAAGUCAACAGAACAGACUUUUCUCCUGACCAGAGGGGGCUGCACUGCGACGUGACUUCAGGGUCCUGACUGUAAUGUCACAGGUUAUUAUGAGUUUUUUUUCUUUUUUUUCCAGAAUAUAACAUUAGGACAAAAUGGAGAACAUGUACGAAGCUGCCAACAAGCCCCCUGGCUUUACUGUGUUUGAUUUGACAUUUUAACAUGUCUAGCCUUUCUUUCUUCUUCUCUUCUUCAACUAAUUAACAUCUUACUCGCUGCUGUGGCACCGUUUAGCUCCAGGAAAUCUGAGUUUGUCAACCCUGACUUUCCUUCCCUUUAGCGCUGCUGAUCCAUCCAGGUUGUUUUGGUGCGAGUCGUCAGCUGCAGAGACGUCUGCCUCCUCUAGAAUAACUACCGUACUUCUGUCCACAUCACCUCACAGAGAGAAACGAGCUCAGCUAACAGUUCAUCUCAGCCGACGAGGAUUCCUGUUAUGUUUCAUGCCACGAGCAGGUGCAGGUCUGUUGCUGUGCGGUGAUCAGAGAGAAAAUAGUCCCUACAUGAACCUGCUCACACCAUAGCUCUGGGAAUCAUCCUGAGUAACUGGGUCUUCAGUGUCCUGUGGUUCCAUCACACAGAAGAAAGGCAGACGUCUCCACAGCUGAGUGCUCCAACACCCUGCAGUGUGGACGGACAAACGGCUCUACAGGAAGUGGAGAAAAAUGUGGCUUUGAUUUACCGUUAAGUCACCAGAGUCCUCAAAUUUAAAGGAAACUGGUGACAUCCUCUCCUUGCACUAAGACCAGCAUCACAACCAAAUCCCACGUGAACACAAGAAAAAACUAAUAGUGCAAAAUGUGAAAAGACAUUUUUGUAACACAUUCCUGCUCCCAUGAGGAUGAACCCUUUGGUUUCAGUAAUGUUUGCUUUAUUAAGACUCUUGAAAAUUGUGUUCUUCCUGCUUUUAUUUCCAUAAAGGACUUCCUCUGCCACUUUUCUCCAGCCCUGAUGCUAAGCUAAGCUAACUGUGCACUGAGAAAAUGACAGAGUGAAAUGAAAUGAAAUGAAAUGUGAAAUGUGGGGUCUCUCCAUUGCCCGCCUGCCGUCACCCGUCCUGGGUGAGGGAUCCCCCCUCUGCUGCUCACCCUGAGGCUUCUCCCAGUCUUUCCCUGUUAAAGGUUUGUUCUGGGGUUUUUCCUGAGUCCAUGUGAGGGUCGAAGGGCAGAGGAUGUUGCUGUGAUGCUAUGUGAAGCCCUGUGAGACUUGAACAGCUUGUAAAAAUGGGCUGUACGAAUAAAGUUGUCUUGUCUUACUGCAGAGCAGGCUGUCCAGCGAGCAGAGUCUCUGAGUGAGAGGUUUGACAUGUUUGGUGGUGCUGAACCAGCUGGGGAUCAGGUAACUGAAGAAGCCGUUAUCCUUACACACCGCCUGCAGGGAGAAGAGGCAGCCCGUGUUUCAGAAACACAUUGCUAAUCCAGAUGUUCGGCAGCUUCAUUUUUAAAUGUGUGAUAAAUGACUGAAGGCGUGAACAAAGUGCAAACCUUCUUCAUGAAGUCCUUGUCGCGCACCAUAACGAGCUCCUCGGGCACCGGUUUAGCCACAGACACCAGGAAGACGUUGAUGCCGGACUCUCGGGCCAACAUGGCCGCCUGCUCCAGGUCAUCAGAAGGCCAGCCGUCAAUCAGGACCACCAUCACCCGGGGGUGACCCCGUCUGGCACCGUUCUCCUGGGCGAAGAAGGUCUCUGCCGUGUGCAUGAUGGCCUUACCUGCAACAGGACAGGACAGGAAACCAGGGAAAGGAAGAUGGAUGGUGUGUGUGUGUGUGUGUGAGUAUGAGUGUGUGUGAGAGAGAGAGUGUGUGUGUGUGUGUGUGUGAGUGAGAGUGUGAGAGAGUACGUGAGUGCGAGAGUGUGCGUGUGUGAGUGUGUGUGUGUGAGAGUGUGUGUGUGUGUGUUACCUGUGUUGGUGUCUCCUCCCAGGUAUGCGAGCUCCUUGAUGGCAAACAGCAGCUCUUUAGGCUGAGUGUAGUUUGUCAGUAAGAACUCCGUCCUGGGGGAGUCGCUGCGCGCACACACACACACACACACACACACACACACACACACACAGUACAGAGAGGUUCAUCCUUCAGUUUGACAUGUGGACACUCGAGGUUUUGAUCUGAGCUCAGACUGAAGCACUAAAAGCAGUUUUAUUUGUACUGUGGUCUUAAUGUUUUGGUUAUUAAAUCACAUUUCUGUUAUGGCCCUGAGUUAACGUAUUCACCCCAUUGUCCAGAAGUGUGUGUGUGUGUGUGUGUGUGUGUGUGUGUGUGAGAGAGAGAGAGAGAGAGCCUGACCUGGUCUGGACCAGGCCUACAUGUGGUCCUGUUUGUCCGACUCUCAACAUGGCUGCCAGUUUGACGACAAAGUUCUUCUGCAGGUUGAACCGCCGCUGGCCGAUGUUGUUGCUGCUGUCGAUCACCAUGGCGAUGUCCAUCUGACAGUCUGCACACACACACACACACACACACACACACACA